rnacentral:rRNA from 1 species
UACGUAGGGUGCAAGCGUUGUCCGGAAUUAUUGGGCGUAAAGAGCUCGUAGGCGGUCUGUCGCGUCUGCUGUGAAAACUCGGGGCUUAACCCCGGGCCUGCAGUGGGUACGGGCAGACUAGAGUGCGGUAGGGGAGACUGGAAUUCCUGGUGUAGCGGUGAAAUGCGCAGAUAUCAGGAGGAACACCGGUGGCGAAGGCGGCUUCCUGGACCGGCACUGACGCUGAGGCGCGAAAGCUAGGGGAGCAAACGGG